CAGAAGCGUAUACUAACGUUGUUGCAGUUAAAAAGCUCGUAGUUGAAUUUCUGGUAAGAGCGACCAGGGCUAUCGGUUAAUCUGAUUGUUUCCCAUGCGUUGUUUUGGCCAUCCUGACCUUCCCUUUUGGGUAGGUCUCAUUUACUGUAAAAAAAUUAGAGUGUUUCAAGCAAAAUGUUAUUUUGGAAUAUAAUAGUAUGGAAUAAUAAGAUAGGACUUUUGUACUAUUUUGUUGGUUUGUAUACAAAAGUAAUGAUUAAUAGGGACAAUUGGGGGUAUUAGUAUUUAGUUGUCAGAGGUGAAAUUCUUGGAUUUACGAAAGACUAACUACUGCGAAGGCAUUUACCAAGGAUGUUUUCAUUAA
rnacentral:rRNA from 1 species